rnacentral:rRNA from 1 species
UACGUAGGGUGCGAGCGUUGUCCGGAAUUACUGGGCGUAAAGAGCUCGUAGGUGGUUUGUCGCGUUGUUCGUGAAAACUCACAGCUCAACUGUGGGCGUGCGGGCGAUACGGGGCAGACUGGAGUACUGCAGGGGAGACUGGAAUUCCUGGUGUAGCGGUGGAAUGCGCAGAUAUCAGGAGGAACACCGGUGGCGAAGGCGGGUCUCUGGGCAGUAACUGACUGAGGAGCGAAAGCGUGGGGAGCGAACGGG